rnacentral:rRNA from 1 species
GACGUAGGGGGCCAGCGUUGUUCGGAAUUACUGGGUGUAAAGGGUUCGUAGGCGGUGUAGCAAGUCGGGAGUGAAAUCUCUGGGCUUAACCCAGAGGCUGCUUCCGAAACUGCUGUGCUUGAGUGUGGGAGAGGCGCGUGGAAUUGCAGGUGUAGCGGUGAAAUGCGUAGAUAUCUGCAGGAACACCCGUGGCGAAAGCGGCGCGCUGGACCACUACUGACGCUGAGAAGCGAAAGCGUGGGGAGCGAACAGG